rnacentral:rRNA from 1 species
AAGGAAUAUUGCUCAAUGGGAGAAAUCCUGAAGCAGCAACGCCGCGUGGAGGAUGAAGGGUCUAUGACUUGUAAACUCCUGUAAAGAAGGAAAAAAUUCCCAUUAGAUGGAAGAUGAUGGUACUUCUGGAGUAAGCCCCGGCUAACUACGUGCCAGCAGCCGCGGUAAUACGUAGGGGGCAAGCGUUGUCCGGAUUUACUGGGUGUAAAGGGUGCUCAGGCGGAUUUGUAAGUCAGAGGUGAAAUCUUACAGCUUAACUGUGAAACUGCCUUUGAUACUGCAAGCCUAGAGUAUGGAAGAGAGUGAUGGAAUAUCUGGUGUAGCAGUGAAAUGCGUAGAUAUCAGAUAGAACACCAAUGGCGAAGGCAGUCACUUGGUCCAUUACUGACGCUAAAGCACGAAAGCGUGGGUAGCAAACA